UCUCAAAGCAAUAGUUCCUUUGUUUUAGGUUAUAUAUACAAAGCGGCGAAACGAUGACACCAUCGCUCUCACUGCACUCUUUCUCCUCUGAUUCAAUCCCUCUUUUGUUGCCCUAAUCCGCUUCCCCAAAUCGAGUUUUGAAGUGAUAUAUCAGAAUGUCUUGGUGCACCAUUGAAUCAGAUCCUGGUGUUUUUACUGAGCUUAUACAACAGAUGCAAGUAAAAGGUGUUCAAGUAGAAGAAUUAUAUUCCUUAGACAUCGAUGCCCUAAACAGCCUGCGGCCAGUCUAUGGGUUGAUAUUCCUUUUCAAGUGGCGACCAGGGGAGAAAGAUGAUCGACCAGUAAUUAAGGAUCCAAAUCCAAAUCUUUUCUUUGCCAAUCAGGUUAUAAACAAUGCUUGUGCAACCCAAGCGAUUCUUUCUAUUCUCCUGAACUGUCCUGAAGUUGACAUUGGCCCUGAACUGUCACUGUUAAAAGAAUUCACGAAAAACUUCCCAUCUGAACUUAAAGGCCUGGCUAUUAACAACAGUGAAGCCAUUCGAACAGCUCACAAUAGCUUUGCUAGACCUGAACCUUUGGUACCUGAUGAGCAAAAGGCUGCGGGCAAGGACGAUGAUGUCUACCAUUUCAUAAGCUAUUUGCCCGUUGAUGGAGUUCUCUAUGAAUUAGAUGGACUGAAGGAAGGCCCGAUCAGCCUUGGCCAAUGUUCUGGUGGCCAAGGUGAUCUUGAUUGGCUGCGCAUGGUGCAACCGGUGAUUCAGGAGCGGAUCAAUCGGUAUUCUCAGAAUGAGAUUAGGUUCAAUUUGUUGGCAAUCAUAAAGAACAGGCGAGAAAUGUACACGGCCGAGCUCAAAGAACUCCAAAAGAAGCGGGAACAUCUCCUGCAGCAACUCAGUGAACUUAGAGAUGUUGGCAGCAAGCACAAUCCUUCAAUUGAAGCCAUAAACAAAUCGCUCUCUGAACUGACUACCGAGAUUGAGAGUGCAUCUGAGAAGAUACUGAUGGAAGAGGAGAAAUUCAAGAAGUGGAAAACGGAAAACAUACGAAGGAAGCAUAAUUACAUCCCGUUCCUCUUCAAUUUUCUGAAGAUUCUCGCGGAGAAAAAACAGCUGAAACCUUUGAUCGAGAAGGCGAAACAGAAAUCCUGCAGCCCCAGCUGAUGAAAACAUUAAUCGUUUUACUAGUAAUUAUUAUCUCUCAUCUUUGUUCAAACUGCUGGUUGAAGCUGUCGAUACUCGAACUGAUGGUUAGAUUUGUAGAAUUAAAAACUCAACUUGUGCGAGUUAGAUUCAACCACAUUCUGGACAUUUCAUAGAAAGGAAGAGCCAUGUUCUGUCAAAAAACCUAGAUCAUAUUGUGAUUUUUGUACUCUUGCGAUGGUUUUUAUUUUAUUUAAGUGUAAUCUGCAA